CGCUGGCGGCGUGCUCAUACAUUCAGUCGAGCGGACACUUCGGUGGUCAGCGGCGGACGGGUGAGUAACACGGCAACCUGCCUGUAAGACUGGGAUAACACCGGGAAACCGGUGCUAAUACCGGAUAAUCCUUUCCUUCACAUGAAGGGAAGCUGAAAGACGGUUUCGGCUGUCACUUACAGAUGGGCCCGCGGCGCAUUAGCUAGUUGGUGAGGUAACGGCUCACCAAGGCAACGAUGCGUAGCCGACCUGAGAGGGUGAUCGGCCACACUGGGACUGAGACACUGCCCAGACUCCUACGGGAGGCAGCAGUAGGGAAUCUUCCGCAAUGGACGAAAGUCUGACGGAGCAACGCCGCGUGAGCGAUGAAGGCCUUCGGGUCGUACAGCUCUGUUGUCAGGGAAGAACAAGUGCCGGAGUAACUGCCGGUACCUUGACGGUACCUGACCAGAAAGCCACGGCUAAC
rnacentral:rRNA from 1 species